GUGGGGAAUAUUGGACAAUGGGCGAAAGCCUGAUCCAGCCAUGCCGCGUGUGUGAAGAAGGUCUUCGGAUUGUAAAGCACUUUAAGUUGGGAGGAAGGGCAGUAAGUUAAUACCUUGCUGUUUUGACGUUACCGACAGAAUAAGCACCGGCUAACUUCGUGCCAGCAGCCGCGGUAAUACGAAGGGUGCAAGCGGUAAUCGGAAUUACUGGGCGUAAAGCGCGCGUAGGUGGUUUUGUAAGUUGGAGGUGAAAUCCCCGGGCUCUACCUGGGAACUGCCUCCAAAGCUGCAUGACUAGAGUACGGUAGAGGGUAGUGGAAUUUCCUGUGUAGCGGUGAAAUGCGUAGAUAUAGGAAGGAACACCAGUGGCGAAGGCGACUACCUGGACUGAUACUGACACUGAGGUGCGAAAGCGUGGGGAGCAAACAGGAUUAGAUACCCUUGUAGUCC
rnacentral:rRNA from 1 species